CCUACGGGAGGCAGCAGUGAGGAAUAUUGGUCAAUGGACGCAAGGCUGAACCAGCCAAGUCGCGUGAAGGAAGACGGCUCUAUGGGUUGUAAACUUCUUUUAUAGGGGAAUAAAGGUAUCCACGUGUGGAUAUUUGCAUGUACCCUAUGAAUAAGCAUCGGCUAACUCCGUGCCAGCAGCCGCGGUAAUACGGAGGAUGCGAGCGUUAUCCGGAGUUAUUGGGUUUAAAGGGUGCGUAGGUUGUUUUGUAAGUCAGCGGUGAACGUGGGGGGCUCAACCAUAAAAUUGCCGUGGAAACUGGAGGACUGGAGUGUGGUUGAGGUAGGCGGAAUGCGUGGGGUAGCGGUGAAAUGCAUAGAUAUCACGCAGAACUGCGAUUGCGAAGGCAGCUUACUAAGCCGUAACUGACACUGAGGCACGAAGGCGUGGGGAUCAAACAGGAUGAGAUACCCGGGUAGUC
rnacentral:rRNA from 1 species